CUUUUUCUUUCUAUCUGAUUAGAACAGAAAUGGCAACCAAAGCGAGUCCUCCAAAUCUCCACAAAUCUGUGGCCAUUUCCAAAGGAUACAACUUCGCUUCUACUUGGGAGCAGAAUGCUCCUCUCUUGGAGAAACAGCAAGCAGCAAUCGUCGCAUUGUCUCAUGCCGUCGCCGAGCGACCAUAUCCUUCCAAUUUGGCC
rnacentral:misc_RNA from 1 species